rnacentral:rRNA from 1 species
GUGUCAGCCGCCGCGGUAAUACAGAGGGUGCGAGCGUUGUCCGGAAUUACUGGGCGUAAAGGGCGCGUAGGCGGUUCGAUAAGUAGGAGGUGAAAUUUCGGGGCUCAACCCCGAAACGGCCUUCUAAACUGUCGGACUGGAGCACGGUAGAGGCAGAUGGAAUUCCCGGUGUAGCGGUGGAAUGCGUAGAGAUCGGGAAGAACACCAGUGGCGAAGGCGGUCUGCUGGGCCGUUGCUGACGCUGAUGCGCGACAGCGUGGGGAGCAAACAGGAUUAGAUACCCUCGUAGUCC